GAUGAACGCUAGCGGCAGGCCUAAUACAUGCAAGUCGAACGGUAAGGCCCUUUCGGGGGUACACGAGUGGCGGACGGGUGCGUAACGCGUAUGCAACAUGCCUUCCAGCGGGGGAUAUACCAGGGAAACUUGGCGCAAUACCCCAUAGAAUUACGGGACCGCAUGGUCUUGUGAUUAAAACUCCGGUGCUGGGAGAUUGGCAUGCGUGACAUUAGCUAGUUGGCGGGGUAACGGCCCACCAAGGCGACGAUGUCUAGCUGGUCUGAGAGGAUGAUCAGCCACACUGGGACUGAGACACGGCCCAGACUCCGUACGGGAGGCAGCAGUAGGGAAUAUUGGACAAGUCGGGGGGAACCCUGAUCCAGCCAUGCCGCGUGAGGGAAGAAGGUCCUC
rnacentral:rRNA from 1 species